ensembl:misc_RNA Metazoa_SRP Metazoan signal recognition particle RNA
GCUGGGCGUGGUGGAGCGUGCCUGUAGUCCCAGCUACUCGGGAGGCUGAGGUGGGAGGAUUGCUUGAGCCCAGGAGUUCUGGGCUGCAGUGCGCUCUGCCAAGCCAGUGUCCGCACUAAGUUCGGCAUCAAUAUGCUGACCUCCCAGGAGCAGGGAACCACCAGGUUGCCUAAGGAGGGGUGAACUGGCCCAGGUCGGAACAGCAAGUCAAAACUCCUGUGCUGAUCAGUAGUGGGAUCGCACCUGUGAAUAGCCACUGCACUCCAGCCUGGGCAACAUAGUGAGACCCCGUCUCUA